UUUCUUGUCUGCAUUUCCUUCUCUAUGGAAUUGAAGAAAACCGUAAUACACACGUGUCUUGGCUGCAAGGUCGUGGUGACGAUGGGAGGUGAUUUUGUGUUUGUGAGCACUUUGCAAAACUCCAGACUGCCCUCCUUAGACCCGAUAGGGAUGGGGACCUCACUUGAGAGGGUGGGUGCAGAGCAAAGAAACGUGGGAAGAUGCAGCCAUCUCACUGAUUAGCCUCAAUCAAUGAAAAAUGCAAAGCUGAAACCCGCUGGGGCCUGGCAGAGGGGAAGUUUGCAGUUAACUCUGUUCUUGGAAGAGUUUUAACGCUGUUCUAUUCUUUGUAGAAGGCCCUUCCCGAAGGAAGUCUGAGGCUUUUGAGGACGAUUUGCCAGGGCAGGCCCUUUAAUGGAGCGAGAUGUGUGGCCCCAGCCUCAGCUCCUCACGCUUCCAAGAGCAACACUGAGAGGUGUGGACCAGUGGGAGUGAGUGGCAGGCCCUCCCGCAGCUGUUGGGCACCUGAGCCCCCCACAAGCCCAUUCCUGAUCCUUCUCUCAUCUCAAAAUCGGGCCUGAUGGCACCUGUAUCACAUCUUGGAAGCACCAGAGACAAGAAUCACAGAGAAAGCUUAUGGCCGCACCCUGCUGCUCUGCCAAGCACCGGGCCCGAGCCAUGGCCGCAUGAAUACUCUCAUUUGAGGGCACUGAAUCUGCAGGUGACAUUCACAUCCACGCGGGCAAGCCAGACAAUUAAGCGUCGCCCUGAGACAUACCCCUUUCCUUCGGCAGCCACCUCCAUGGGGUCAGCAACCCCUGCCAAGCUUACCCCUGAACAGCCACCAGCAGAUCUACUGCUCGCUGUCUCCUGCUGUCCUGGAUCACGGCGACAGCCUCCUGGUAACGACGCUACUGAAUCUGGGAUUAGCCACCCUUUGUCUUCCGAGUGA
rnacentral:lncRNA from 9 species